rnacentral:lncRNA from 1 species
GUCAGGAGCUAUUUAUGAGUUAGUUAUGUAAAUUCAUGCAUUAAAUUUUUAACUCUUAAAAAUAUAAAUUAACAUUCCUACUAACUCAAAGGAUGUAUUACAGACAUAAUGUACACAAUAUGAUAGUAGAAUAACCCUUUUAUUUAUUUAUAGUCAAAAUUAUAAAUUUGUCCUUAUAUUUGUACUGGAAUGUGUCAGCCAAUCUGGCAUCUAGG